AACGAACGCUGGCGGCAGGCCUAACACAUGCAAGUCGAGCGAGGACUUCGGUCCUAGCGGCGGACGGGUGAGUAACGCGUGGGAACGUGCCCUUUGCUUCGGAAUAGCCCUGGGAAACUGGGAGUAAUACCGGAUGAGCCCUUUGGGGGAAAGAUUUAUCGGCGAAGGAUCGGCCCGCGUUGGAUUAGGUAGUUGGUGGGGUAAUGGCCUACCAAGCCGACGAUCCAUAGCUGGUUUGAGAGGAUGAUCAGCCACACUGGGACUGAGACACGGCCCAGACUCCUACGGGAGGCAGCAGUGGGGAAUCUUAGACAAUGGGGGAAACCCUGAUCUAGCCAUGCCGCGUGAGCGAUGAAGGCCUUAGGGUUGUAAAGCUCUUUCAGCUGGGAAGAUAAUGACGGUACUAGCAGAAGAAGCCCCGGCUAACUCCGUG
rnacentral:rRNA from 1 species